rnacentral:tRNA from 1 species
UGUCCAGGGAUGGGAAACGAAACCACAAUGUUCCGCUUACCGGGCAGAUGCCAUGUCCACUAGGCUACCCAACCCUGGAC